GCCUGCAGGACAGCUUAGUUGGUAGAGUAUGAGACUCAUAAUCUCAGGGUCAUGGGUUUGAGCCCCAUGUUGGGCA